UCCGUAGGGGGCUAGCGUUGUCCGGAAUCAUUGGGCGUAAAGCGCGUGUAGGCGGUCCGGUAAGUCCGCUGUGAAAGCCCCGGGCUCAACCUGGGAAUUGCAUUCGAGACUGAAUAGCUAGGGUACGGUAGAGGGAAGUGGAAUUUCCGGUGUAGCGGUGAAAUGCGUAGAUAUCGGAAGGAACAUCAGUGGCGAAAGCGACUUCCUGGACCAGUACCGACGUUCAGGCACGAAAGCGUGGGGAGCAAACAGG
rnacentral:rRNA from 1 species